AGAGUUUGAUCAUGGCUCAGAACGAACGCUGGCGGCGCGCNUAAUACAUGCAAGUCGAACGAGAAUGUGUAGCAAUACACAUGUACAGUGGCGAACGGGUGAGGACUACAUGGGUAACCUACCCUCGAGUGGGGAAUAACUAGCCGAAAGGUUAGCUAAUACCGCGUACGCUUCCAAGACUGCGGUUUUGGAAGGAAAGCGAUACCGUGGGUAUCGCGCUCUUGGAUGGGCUCAUGCCCUAUCAGCUUGUUGGUGAGGUAACGGCUCACCAAGGCUUCGACGGGUAGCUGAUCUGAGAGGAUGAUCAGCCACGCUGGCACUGCGACACGGGCCAGACUCCUACGGGAGGCAGCAGUAAGGAAUAUUGCGCAAUGGGCGAAAGCCUGACGCAGCGACGCCGCCUUGGGGGAUGAAGGUCUUCGGAUUGUAAACCCCUUUCGGGAGGGAAGAUGGGAUGGGGUAACCCAUUCGGACGGUACCUCCAGAAGCAGCCACGGCUAACUUCGUGCUAGCAGCCGCCGGUAAUAC
rnacentral:rRNA from 1 species